GGUCACAAAGAGGCAGACACGACUGAGCAACUGAACUGAACUGAACUGAAUCAUAUGCUUAGCUGUUUAAUUUUUUUAAUCUCUCUCUCUCGUCAGACCAUAAGUCCAUGAGAACAAGGGCAGAUCUGUUUGGUGUAUCACCAUAUCCCCAAUCCCCAACACUGUCUGGCAUGUAAUAAUAGAGGCUUAAUAUAUUGCAUAAGUGACCAAGUGAAUGUCUUCAAUAAAAAGAGGAUAAUAAUAACCUCACAUUGCUAACACUUCCCCCUUAGGAUUAGAGGUAGAAAGUUGAUGGCUGUCUUGAAUUGAAGGCAUUUGAUAGCUGCUGCUACUGCUCUUUGUGCUCUUAGAGUUUCAUGUGAUUCUGAAUAUCCUGGUAUUUCUAUUCAAAGAGAGACUACCACUUAUGCUUAUUUCAUGGUUCCUGACACUUGGUUAACAAUUUAAUUUUAAAUCACUACUGAGAUUUGCCUCGAAUGGAAAAAAUAAUUUUAUCUAGGUUGUUUAAAAUGUAUGAGCCUUACUGUACUGUGUAGAACAGCAAAAAUAAUUUGCUGCUUCGGUUGUGAAAUAAAAACUUAUUUCUCUGCAUGUGUUAUUUCUUCCCCCUACCUAGUGUAAGUAACAGAUCCAGUAUUAUCUCUAUAAUAAGAUUUUGAUUGAAUGGUAGGUAAGGCUCUAGCCUAAGCCAUAUUAAAAUGUACUUUUCCAGAGUAUGCUUCGUUUCAGGGCUAAAGGGGAUGCAAAUGUGAAGUGGCAUGAUGGAUUUGACUGCAGCAACUUCUUACUUGGUGAUUUGGCAGAACUAGAGCGUGUCUUCUACUCCCUGUGGGUUUCUGCCACUUGACGGGCUGUGUGGGAGAGUGCCUGUCUCCUUGAUCAGCUGGGAGGGCUUCCCUGCUCUUCACACGCCCUGGAUUGUAGCAGCAGCAGAAGCUGAGCUGGAAGUUGGUGUUUAUUUCUCCACUCACAGCUUCUGCCCUUUCCUGCAAAAGGAAAUCGAGAAACCACUCGUAAUUUACCAGAUAACCCCAGAAGCCUUGGUCGACAGACCAAAUUCUCCAGUCAAAGCUACGGGCUCCUGA
rnacentral:lncRNA from 1 species